rnacentral:rRNA from 1 species
AUUGAACGCUGGCGGCAGGCCUAACACAUGCAAGUCGAGCGGAUGAAGGGAGCUUGCUCCUGGAUUCAGCGGCGGACGGGUGAGUAAUGCCUAGGAAUCUGCCUGGUAGUGGGGGAUAACGUCCGGAAACGGGCGCUAAUACCGCAUACGUCCUGAGGGAGAAAGUGGGGGAUCUUCGGACCUCACGCUAUCAGAUGAGCCUAGGUCGGAUUAGCUAGUUGGUGGGGUAAAGGCCUACCAAGGCGACGAUCCGUAACUGGUCUGAGAGGAUGAUCAGUCACACUGGAAGUGAGACACGGUCCAGACUCCUACGGGAGGCCGCAGCGGGGAAUAUUGGACAAUGGGCGAAAGCCUGAUCCAGCCAUGCCGCGUGUGUGCAGAAGGUCUUCGGAUUGUAAAGCGCUUUAAGUUGGGAGGAAGGGCAGUAAGUUAAUACCUUGCUGUUUUGACGUUACCAACAGAAUAAGCACCGGCUAACUUCGUG